rnacentral:lncRNA from 10 species
CAUAAUAUUUUUCAUAUAAACUGCUCAGCUAGAUUUUCCGCAUUCCAGGUUUAUACAUAAAUUUCUUAACACCUUUCUAAUUUUACUAGUUUAAACUCUAUAUGCCAGUCUAUGAUUUGAAUUCUGGCCCGGUCUUAAGCCUUAUAAGUACUUGAGAAAGGGCAAGAUCAUUUGCUAGUGUGCACUUUACAGUGUACCUGUCUUUAUUUAUUUUUGUAUUUAUUUACUUAUUUAUUAUGUUUUGAGACAAGGUCUCACUGUAUCACCCAGGCUGGAGUGCAGUGGCACCAUCAUGGCUCACUGUAGCCUCAACCUCCUGGGCUCAAGCAAUCCUCCUGCCUCACCCUCCCAGGUAGCUGGGACCACAGGCACAUGCCACCAUGCAUGUAGAAAAAUUUAAAUAUUUCUAAAAUGUUGCCCAGGCUGGUCUGAAACUCCUGGGCUCAGGUGAUCCUCCCACCUCAGCCUCUCUCCCAAAGUGCUGGCAUGACAGGCAUGAGCCACAGUGCCCGGCUCCCCUACAACUUCACUUCUUGCUCACUGCCCUGUGUGUAUGCCCUUACAGUCCUAGGAUCCUCCUUCUGACUUUACAGAGAUCACUUCCAAGUCUAUAUCCAAUUCCUUUCCUGAUCAAUAUAUAACAUGUUCUUAGGUCAGGGGGCCUCCACAAAGCAGGACAACCCAAAGGUGCUCCUGCACUUAGCUAUUAGGACAAUAGCUAAGUUGUCCUAAAUAAAAUGCUAUUUAUGAAAAGCAUUUAACUUAGGUUUCCCCCACCUAGUUUUGUCCUAAUUUAAUUCCUCAAGGAGGUUUGGUAACUUUUCCUCCCUUCUUACAUGAAGGAGCUCUAAAAGGGGUCUUUCCUCUAUAAGGGAGAAGAAACUUUCGUAGCUUGUCUCCUACCAGAAGUAGAAGUGACUGGAGUAAUGUGGUAAAAGGCUACCCUCUAAACUCCAGAGUCAGAAGAACCCUUUCUUUUUUUUUUUUUUUUGAGACACAGCCUUGCUAUGAGGCCCAGUCUGGAGUGCAAUGAUGCUAUCUCGGCACUCACUGCAACCUCUGCCUCCCAGGUUCAAGCAAUUCUUCUGCCCCAGGCUCCUGAGUAGCUGGGACUACAGGCACACACCACCAGGCCCAGCUAAUUUUUUUGUAUUUUUAGUAGAGAUAGGGUUUCACCAUAUUGGCCAGACUGGUCUCAAACUCAUGACCUCAAGUGAUCCACCUGCCUCGGCUUUCCAAAGUGCUGGGAAUACAGGUGUGACCCACCACGCCCAGCCAAGAAUCCUUUCUUAUGUCCAUGUUGAUGUAUAGGUUAGUAGUUUAUCUUCCAUCAGUUAUGAAAACUGCAGGAGUCAAGAAAUUUAGGAGUAGGGAGGAAAGAAAGGAAAGAUUUCCUAAUCUCUUCAUACUCAAAAGGAUAUGUGCUAUAUGAAAAAGGAGAAUUGAGUGAAAUAUCUGUGAUUACUUUAUAUAUUGUAAGUAGCCUAGAAACCUAAGAAUUAUACCUGACUUCUUCCUUCCCUUCACCCCCCAUAUCUAAUAACAAGAAUCACUAACACUUAUCAAGUACUUACUGUGUGUCAAGACCAGCCUGGCUAACAUGGUGAAACCCCAUCUCUAGUAAAAAUACGAAAAUGGCCGGGUGCGGUGGCUCAUGCU